rnacentral:rRNA from 1 species
GACGAACGCUGGCGGCGUGCUUAACACAUGCAAGUCGAACGGAAAGGCCUCUUUCGGGGGGUACUCGCGUGGCGAACGGGUGAGUAACACGCGAGUAACCUGCCCUUGACUUUGGGAUAACUUCAGGAAACUGGGGCUAAUACCGGAUAGGAGCUCCUUCUGCACGGUGGGGGUUGGAGAGUUUCGGCGGUUGGGGGUGGCCUCGCGGCUUAUCAGCUUGGUGGUGGGGUAGUGGCUUACCAAGGCCUUGACGGGUAGCCGGCCUGGGGGGGUGACCGGCCACAUUGGGACUGAGAGACGGCCCAGACACCUACGCGAGGCAGCAGUGGGGAAGAUUGCACAAGGGGUGGAAGCCUGAUGCAGCAGCGCCGUGUGCGGGAUGACGGUCUUAGGGUUGUAAACCGCUUUCGCUCAUGACGAAGCUUUGUGUGACGGUAGUGGGUAAAGAAGCACCGGCUAACUACGUG